rnacentral:rRNA from 1 species
UGGCGGCAUGCCUAACACAUGCAAGUCGAACGAGACUUCGGUCUAGUGGCGGACGGGUGAGUAACGCGUAGGAACCUACCAAGUAGUGGGGGAUAACAGCUGGAAACGGCUGCUAAUACCGCAUACGCCCUUCGGGGGAAAGAUUUAUCGGUGAAGGAUUAGCCCGCGUCUGAUUAGAUAGUUGGUGGGGUAAUGGCCUACCAAGUCUACGAUCAGUAGCUGGUUUGAGAGGAUGAUCAGCAACACUGGGACUGAGACACGGCCCAGACUCC